UUAGAGUUUGAUUCUGGCUCAGGAUGAACGCUAGCGGCAGGCUUAACACAUGCAAGUCGAGGGGCAGCGAGAGUGAUAGCAAUAUUACUUGUCGGCGACCGGCGCACGUGUGCGUAACGCGUAUGCAACCUACCAUCAACAGGGGGAUAACACUGAGAAAUCGGUACUAAUACCCCAUAAUAUCUCAUGCGGCAUCGCAUGGGGUUGAAAACUCCGGUGGUUGAUGAUGGGCAUGCGUUGUAUUAGCUGGUUGGUGAGGUAACGGCUCACCAAGGCGACGAUACAUAGGGGGACUGAGAGGUUAACCCCCCACAUUGGUACUGAGACACGGACCAAACUCCUACGGGAGGCAGCAGUGAGGAAUAUUGGUCAAUGGACGCAAGUCUGAACCAGCCAUGCCGCGUGCAGGAUGACGGCUCUAUGAGUUGUAAACUGCUUUUGUACGAGGGUAAACCCCGAUACGUGUAUCGGGUUGAAAGUAUCGUACGAAUAAGGAUCGGCUAACUCCGUGCCAGCAGCCGCGGUAAUACGGAGGAUCCGAGCGUUAUCCGGAUUUAUUGGGUUUAAAGGGUGCGUAGGCGGUUUGAUAAGUUAGAGGUGAAAUGUCGGGGCUCAACCCCGAAACUGCCUCUAAUACUGUUGGACUAGAGAAUAGUUGCGGUAGGCGGAAUGUAUGGUGUAGCGGUGAAAUGCUUAGAGAUCAUACAGAACACCGAUUGCGAAGGCAGCUUACCAAACUAUAUCCGACGUUGAGGCACGAAAGCGUGGGUAGCAAACAGGAUUAGAUACCCUGGUAGUCCACGCAGUAAACGAUGAUAACUCGUUGUCGGCGAUACACAGUCGGUGACUAAGCGAAAGCGAUAAGUUAUCCACCUGGGGAGUACGUUCGCAAGAAUGAAACUCAAAGGAAUUGACGGGGGCCCGCACAAGCGGAGGAACAUGUGGUUUAAUUCGAUGAUACGCGAGGAACCUUACCCGGGCUUGAAAGUUAGCGACGACGCUUGAAAGAGCGUUUCCCUUCGGGGCGCGAAACUAGGUGCUGCAUGGUUGUCGUCAGCUCGUGCCGUGAGGUGUCGGGUUAAGUCCCAUAACGAGCGCAACCCCUACUGUUAGUUGCCAUCAGGUGAUGCUGGGCACUCUAGCGGGACUGCCGGUGUAAGCCGAGAGGAAGGUGGGGAUGACGUCAAAUCAGCACGGCCCUUACGUCCGGGGCCACACACGUGUUACAAUGGUAGGUACAGAGGGCAGCUACCCUGCGAAGGGGUGCGAAUCUCGAAAGCCUAUCUCAGUUCGGAUUGUAGUCUGCAACCCGACUACAUGAAGCCGGAAUCGCUAGUAAUCGCGAAUCAGAAUGUCGCGGUGAAUACAUUCCCGGGUCUUGCACACACCGCCCGUCA
rnacentral:rRNA from 1 species